rnacentral:rRNA from 1 species
GACGAACGCUGGCGGCGUGCCUAAUACAUGCAAGUCGAACGCACAGUUUAUACCGUAGCUUGCUACACCAUAGACUGUGAGUUGCGAACGGGUGAGUAACGCGUAGGUAACCUGCCUGGUAGCGGGGGAUAACUAUUGGAAACGAUAGCUAAUACCGCAUAAUAUUAAUUAUUGCAUGAUAAUUAAUUGAAAGGUGCAAUUGCACCACUACCAGAUGGACCUGCGUUGUAUUAGCUAGUAGGUGAGGUAACGGCUCACCUAGGCGACGAUACAUAGCCGACCUGAGAGGGUGAUCGGCCACACUGGGACUGAGACACGGCCCAGACUCCUACGGGAGGCAGCAGUAGGGAAUCUUCGGCAAUGGACGAAAGUCUGACCGAGCAACGCCGCGUGAGUGAAGAAGGUUGUCGGAUCGUAAAGCUCUGUUGUAAGAGAAGAACGGGUGUGAGAGUGGAAAGUUCACACUGUGACGGUAUCUCACCAGAAAGGGACGGCUAACUACGUG